rnacentral:rRNA from 1 species
CAGUCGCCGCGGUAAUACGAAGGGGGCUAGCGUUGUUCGGAAUCACUGGGCGUAAAGGGUGUGUAGGCGGAUUCUUAAGUCAGGGGUGAAAUCCCGAGGCUCAACCUCGGAACUGCCUUUGAUACUGGGGAUCUUGAGUCCGGAAGAGGUGAGUGGAACUGCGAGUGUAGAGGUGAAAUUCGUAGAUAUUCGCAAGAACACCGGUGGCGAAGGCGGCUCACUGGUCCGGAACUGACGCUGAGGCACGACAGCGUGGGGAGCAAACAGGAUUAGAUACCCGCGUAGUCCCUGUCUCUUAUAC